GAUGAACGCUGACAGAAUGCUUAACACAUGCAAGUCAACUUGAACUUCGGUUUGGGUGGCGGACGGGUGAGUAACGCGUAAAGAACUUGCCUCACAGAUAGGGACAACAUUUGGAAACGAAUGCUAAUACCUGAUAUUAUGAUUAUAUGGCAUCGUAUAAUUAUGAAAGCUAUAUGCGCUGUGAGAGAGCUUUGCGUCCCAUUAGCUAGUUGGAGAGGUAACGGCUCACCAAGGCGAUGAUGGGUAGCCGGCCUGAGAGGGUGAUCGGCCACAAGGGGACUGAGACACGGCCCUUACUCCUACGGGAGGCAGCAGUGGGGAAUAUUGGACAAUGGACCAAGAGUCUGAUCCAGCAAUUCUGUGCGCACGAUGAAGUUUUUCGGAAUGUAAAGUGCUUUCAGUUGGGAAGAAAAAAAUGACGGUACCAACAGAAGAAGUGACGGCUAAAUACGUG
rnacentral:rRNA from 1 species